rnacentral:ncRNA from 1 species
UUAUAAAGAAUACUUUUAUAGAUUUUAAAUUUGAUUAUGAUUUAAAAAUAAUUAAAAUAAUAUUAUUUAAGUUUAAUUUAUAGAAUGGGCAAUAUUUUUUUACCCUGGUAAUUAAUUAUUUGUAUAAUAUUUGUUCCAGAAUAAUCGGCUACACUUAUAAAAUUUAAACUUUAUUUUUGGUAAAUUAUAAUAUUGUUAAUAAAAAUUUGUAUAAUUUUAGGUUAAAUUUAAAUUAUUUAAAAGGUUAGGAUUAUAAUUAUAAAUUUUGAUAAUCAAAUUAGAUUAGUACCUAAUUAGGCAAAGUUUAAAAGUGCAGAAGUAAAGUGGUAUUUAAACUGUAAGAAUAUUGGCAGACUUGCUAAAUUAUCUUUGGAGGUUGAAUAGUAAAUGAGAACCCUCAUUAUCUACUAAUAUUAUAGGCUCAUGUAUGAUCGUUUAUUUUGCUUUUAAGAAGUAUAAUAAUAAAUUUUUAUUUAAUUUAUAAAAAUAGAUAUAUAUUUGGUUAAUAUAUAAGUAAAAUUUGACCUACAUUAUAUAAUUAUGUGGAUAAUUAAUGUGGAGUUAGUUUGAAAAUGUAAAAGACAGUAAAAAAUUUUAAUAGUUUUUGAAGAUUAUUUAGAAGUGGUACAAAUCAUCCAUCAAUUGCCCACAGGGGAGUAAGUUGUAGUAAAGUAGAUUUAGGGGAACCUGAAUCUAAUAA